CUGGCGUCAGGAUGAACGCUAGCUACAGGCUUAACACAUGCAAGUCAGGGGCAGCAUAACGAAAGCUUGCUUUGUUGAUGGCGACCGGCGCACGGGUGAGUAACGCGUAUCCAACCUUCCCUAUAGUAGAGAAUAGCCCGGCGAAAGUCGGAUUAAUGCUCUAUGUUCUUCUUUGAUGGCAUCUGAUGAGAAGCAAAGGUUCACCGCUAUAGGAUGGGGAUGCGUCUGAUUAGCUUGUUGGCGGGGUAACGGCCCACCAAGGCAACGAUCAGUAGGGGUUCUGAGAGGAAGGUCCCCCACAUUGGUACUGAGACACGGACCAAACUCCUACGGGAGGCAGACAGUGAGGAAUAUUGGUCAAUGGGCGAGAGCCUGAACCAGCCAAGUAGCCGUGCAGGAUGACUGCCCUAUGGGUUGUAAACUGCUUUUAUAGGGGAAUAAAGUGAGGUACGUGUACCUUUUUGUAUGUACCCUAUGAAUAAGGACCGGCUAAUUCCGUGCCAGCCGCGGC
rnacentral:rRNA from 1 species